rnacentral:rRNA from 1 species
GAUGAACGCUGGCGGCGUGCCUAAUACAUGCAAGUCGAGCGAACGGACGAGAAGCUUGCUUCACUGAUGUUAGCGGCGGACGGGUGAGUAACACGUGGAUAACCUACCUAUAAGACUGGGCUAACUUCGGGAAACCGGAGCUAAUACCGGAUAAUAUUUUGAACCGCAUGGCUCAAAAGUGAAAGACGGUCUUGCUGUCACUUAUAGAUGGAUCCGCGCUGCAUUAGCUAGUUGGUAAGGUAACGGCUUACCAAGGCAACGAUGCAUAGCCGACCUGAGAGGGGGAUCGGCCACACUGGAACUGAGACACGGCCCAGACUCCUACGGGAGGCAGCAGUAGGGAAUCUUCCGCAAUGGGCGAAAGCCUGACGGAGAAACGCCGCGUGAGUGAUGAAGGUCUUCGGAUAGUAAAACUCUGUUAUUAGGGAAGAACAUAUGUGUAAGUAACUGGGCACAUCUUGACGGUACCUAAUCAGAAAGCCACGGCUAACUACGUG